UUUACGCGCUCCCGCAUAGGGACGACACGUGCGUCGUCGGUGCCUCUCUAACAUUUCCCUCUCCAGUCGGCUGCUGCCUUCGUUGAUGUUGUCACUGUUCUCCACCUUCCUUGGUAAGCGGUUGGCCUUACCGAAGCCAUCCCCUUGGCCUGGAGCUGCUGCUCUCGGCCACCACUACACCGUGGCUUGAUUCUUCAUGACCGGCGGCUUCGACCACCAUGGCAUCCAACCUUCGUUCCCCAUUUUCUGUUCGAUGCACCUCAUGGCUAGUGGCUCUCACCCCUGCGGUCACUGAUGGAGGCCUCCUCUAUGGCUAACUGGUGUGUGAGAUUGACCGGAUUUGGAGGCAGCGAUGUGCCGGUGGAAUGGGGAGGCAAGGCAACAGGAGGAAAUCUUAAUAUCCACGCCUCCAACUGCUACUUGUGACAGGAACAAAAAGGUUGCAGGAACAUUAUAAGUGAUUUUGUUUAAUUCUGCAAAUGAGAUUCGAUCUGUUCUUUUUAGAAUGCGAAUUUUCUUUCCUGUAUGGCCAGAUGUUGCUUAUGUAAAAUAAUGAAAGCCAAAUUGUCAAAAUGGUUUCUUUUUUAUAAGAAAAUUGUCAGAAUGUUUGGUGUAAAGCUGUAAA